GGGCUCACACAAGCGGUGGAGCAUGUGGUUCAAUUCGAAGCAACGCGAAGAACCUUACCUGGCCUUGACUUGCACGGAUUAGCUCUGUGAAAGCAGAGUAACAGCUCUUCGGAGUCGGAACGUGCGCAGGUGUUGCAUGGCUGUCGUCAGCUCGUGUCGUGAGAUGUUGGGUUAAGUCCCGUAACGAGCGCAACCCCUAUUCUUAGUUGCCAGCGGGUAAUGCCGGGGACUCUAGGAAGACUGCCGUUGUCAAGACGGAGGAAGGUGGGAUGACGUCAAGUCAUCAGGCCUUAUGGCCAGGGCUACACACGUGCUACAAUGGUCUGUACAAAGGGUUCCGAGACCGCAAGGUGGAGGCAAUCCCCAAAGCAGGCCCCAGUUCGGAUUGCAGGCUGAAAUUCGCCUGCAUGAAGCCGGAAUCGCUAGUAA
rnacentral:rRNA from 1 species